rnacentral:lncRNA from 1 species
CGACCAUUUAUGGUGCCCUUGUGUGCCAGGCUUUGUGCUGUCUAGUAUCUUUAAUCCUCACAACACUAUCGUGAGAGGGCACUACACUAGGUUUUUCCAUUCUUAUCGGUGACGAAACAGAUUUAUAAAGGGUAAAUAAGUUGGCUUGAGGUUACACAUCUACUAAGUUGAAAGCUGGUAAGAUUCCCUUAUCAUUAGGCAGAUCAAAGUAUGAAAGUAAUAAGAUCAUACUUUGAUCUGCCUACUCCCAGUCCGUGUUCUUCUGAUUAUACUAUACUCCCUCUCAGAAGAUUCCUUUUGGUUGAGUGUUGUUUGUGGAGAAAUGGUAACAAAGGUGCCA